GACGAACGCUGGCGGCGUGCUUAACACAUGCAAGUCGAACGGAAAGGCCCUGCUUUUGUGGGGUGCUCGAGUGGCGAACGGGUGAGUAACACGUGAGUAACCUGCCCUUGACUUUGGUAUAACUUCAGGAAACUGGGGCUAAUACCGGAUAGGAGCUCCUGCUGCAUGGUGGGGGUUGGAAAGUUUCGGCGGUUGGGGAUGGACUCGCGGCUUAUCAGCUUGUUGGUGGGGUAGUGGCUUACCAAGGCUUUGACGGGUAGCCGGCCUGAGAGGGUGACCGGCCACAUUGGGACUGAGAUACGGCCAAGAAUCCUACGGGAGGCAGCAGUGGGGAAUAUUGCACAAUGGGCGGAAGCCUGAUGCAGCAACGCCGCGUGCGGGAUGAAGGCCUUCGGGUUGUAACCCGCUUUCGCCUGUGACGAAGCGUGAGUGACGGUAAUGGGUAAAGAAGCACCGGCUAACUACGUG
rnacentral:rRNA from 1 species